rnacentral:rRNA from 1 species
AGACAGAGGGUGCAAGCGUUGUUCGGAAUUAUUGGGCGUAAAGCGCGCGUAGGCGGUUUGGUAAGUCAGAUGUGAAAGCCCGGGACUCAACCCCGGAAGUGCAUCUGAAACUGCUGGACUUGAAUCUCGGAGAGGGUGGUGGAAUUCCUGGUGUAGAGGUGAAAUUCGUAGAUAUCAGGAGGAACACCGGUGGCGAAGGCGACUUCCUGGACCAAUACUGACACUGAGGUGCGAAAGCGUGGGGAGCAAACAGGAUUAGAAACCCCUGUAGUCC